UACGUAGGGUGCGAGCGUUGUCCGGAAUUAUUGGGCGUAAAGAGCUCGUAGGCGGUCUGUCGCGUCGGAUGUGAAAGCCCGGGGCUUAACCCCGGGUCUGCAUUCGAUACGGGCAGACUAGAGUGUGGUAGGGGAGAUCGGAAUUCCUGGUGUAGCGGUGAAAUGCGCAGAUAUCAGGAGGAACACCGGUGGCGAAGGCGGAUCUCUGGGCCAUUACUGACGCUGAGGAGCGAAAGCGUGGGGAGCGAACAGG
rnacentral:rRNA from 1 species